GAUGAACGCUGGCGGCGUGCUUAACACAUGCAAGUCGAACGGAAAGGCUCCUGCUUGCAGGGGUACUCGAGUGGCGAACGGGUGAGUAACACGUGGGUGAUCUGCCCUGCACUUCGGGAUAAGCCUGGGAAACUGGGUCUAAUACCGGAUAGGACGAUGGUUUGGAUGCCAUUGUGGAAAGUUUUCCGGUGUGGGAUGAGCUGGCGGCCUAUCAGCUUGUUGGUGGGGUAAUGGCCUACCAAGGCGACGACGGGUAGCCGGCCUGAGAGGGUGUACGGCCACUUAGGACAGAGGAACUGGACGGCACCGAACGGGGAGGCAGGGGUGGAGAUUUUAACCAAGACGGGGCAAGCCUGCUGGAGGCGCCCCGGCUGGGGAAAGACGCCCUUCCGGUUGCAACCUCGUUUUCCUGGGAUUGGCCCAGAGGGCCCGGCCCCUGGAAAAAGGCCACCGAUAAACUGGGC
rnacentral:rRNA from 1 species